rnacentral:rRNA from 1 species
GAUGAACGCUAGCGGGAGGCCUAACACAUGCAAGCCGAGCGGUAGAGAUUCUUCGGAAUCUUGAGAGCGGCGUACGGGUGCGGAACACGUGUGCAACCUGCCUUUAUCAGGGGGAUAGCCUUUCGAAAGGAAGAUUAAUACCCCAUAAUAUAUUUGAUGGCAUCAUUAGAUAUUGAAAGCUUUGGCGGAUAGAGAUGGGCACGCGCAAGAUUAGAUAGUUGGUGAGGUAACGGCUCACCAAGUCGAUGAUCUUUAGGGGGCCUGAGAGGGUGAUCCCCCACACUGGUACUGAGACCCGGACCAGACUCCUACGGGAGGCAGCAGUGAGGAAUAUUGGACAAUGGGUUAGCGCCUGAUCCAGCCAUCCCGCGUGAAGGACGACGGCCCUAUGGGUUGUAAACUUCUUUUGUACAGGGAUAAACCUACUCUCGUGAGAGUAGCUGAAGGUACUGUACGAAUAAGCACCGGCUAACUCCGUG